UCAGAGUACGUGAAACCGCUUAGGGGUUAAGCCCGAUGAACCCGAAUAUCCGAAUUGAGAAAUUCAAUACUGUUUUAGUUUUUAAAUAAACGACAGUGUGCACUUUUCUCAUAGUAGGACAUUGCGAUCCAUUAGAUCGUUUAUCAAACGGCCCAUGUAGUCAGUUUGACCUGUCUGCAAUAUUUACUUAUUGUAUGGUUAAUGCUACUGUGGUGACCUGGUAAACAGCUGAUGGAGCUUAACAAUCAUGCAAACAUACAUCCGAUGUAUCACGGUUUCGAUGAUGUAUUUCAUUGGGAUGCAGUGAUCGCAUGUAUUUGAUUAGCAAUGCGAUAGAUUUGGGAUACCUUCGGGACCCGUCUUGAAACACGGACCAAGAAGUCUAACAUGUGUGCAAGUCAUUGGGUAUUUGUUGAAACCUAAAGGCGAAAUUAAAAUAACUAUUUUAAUGGGAUUACAAGCAAUCUAACGAUUGUUUCUCCAUCCCGGGGCGUUCUAUAUGAACAUGGUUUAAGCAAUUAGACCCUCUGUUCGAGAGCGUACCUUGAGCAUACAUGCUGUGACCCGAAAG
rnacentral:rRNA from 1 species